AAAAAAAUAUCUACAUAGAACUCUCUCUCUCUCUCUCCAUGAAAAAAAAGAACUCUCCUCUCCUCCCGUACGAUCCCCACCAGGCUCCUCAUACACAUCCGCCAUUUCUUCCGAUUUGCCGCCGGCGAAGGACGGCGUCUCUGUGCCCCAUCAGGAAACUAAUCCUCACGCUAUCCCAGAUCCACAUGUCGCUUCUUUUCUCCUGAUUUUUCUUCCUUGGUGGUGGCACAUGUGGCUGGGUGAGUGCGUGGAUCUCGGCGAACUCGUCUACUCUGGCAACGCGGUCACGGAGAUUUCCAGUGGGAACGCGGGCUACGCCGCUCAAACUUGUCGUGCCCGGAGGCUCUGGAUGUUGGGGCCGCGGAGGCAUUGAGGGAGCUCGCGGAGGAAGAAAUAUCUGCAAGACGUGAGUAUCUUCUGUGAGUGGCUGUUAGCUGUUGCCCUCCUGCUGCCCGGACCUCUACCAAAUCACAAAGGGCCACUUUGAGUCGCUUGGUGACAUAAUGAUUAUAGGAGCAUCACCUGCAAACCUACCUUCAGUUUUAGCUCGUGGAUUGGAAUUCCUGGGAAGAUCAUGUUGCUAAGGAACUCUGUUGCACACAUAUUCUCCAUUGUGUUGUAAUUCAUUGUUGCCUUGCACACAGUGUCCAAGUAUAGGAUUGCUCUUUCUUCGAGAAAUUCACGGUUACGAUAGUUUUGCUGCAAGUUUGGAUCGUAAUAUCCAUUCUGCAAAUUCGGCCACAUUUUGCUUUUCUAUUGGAUCUUCUGACAGACUUUAGCCGCAUGUUUUGAGUUAGUCUAAAUAUUUCGAAGUACUUCCAUAGGAGCAAAGCUGCAACGCCAGAUGAUGCUAACGCAAGCACUUUCUUUCCCUCUGACCGUAGCUUCGUUGUAAUUGCUUUCCAUAGAUAAAUUUUGCCUGUGCCACUGUAGCCUUCUACAAAUAUCUAUUUUCCAAGUCCUUUCUCAGUUGAUUCCAUUAUUGCAUCAAAGGUCAUUUUCUGGCCAUGGUUAACAUUGCUUAUUAUGGUUUGGUGCUCAUUCUUUAGUGCCUCCAUGCCAUAGCUAAGUUUUUCGUUUAUCAUUCUGUUCCCAAGUUCUUCAAGUUCUGUAGCAUUUGGUAGUUCUUUAUCUGGAUAGCCCUUUAGUGUCUUUCCUUCUUGCCUCAUUAGUUUCUCUAUCUCAAUCAGACCAUAUGCCUUUUCCUAUGAAUCAGUGAGCUGCAGCAUAGGAAAGUUAAGGAUAAUUCUUAUUUUGUACUAGAUAUCUUUAUCAGUGCCUCCCAUGUUGAUUCCCUCAACAUCUUUGGGCUGGUCACCUCACAAUGUCAUAAAAUUGUGGUGAAUAAUUGUCGUAAUUGUGUCCCUGAGCCCCAGCAUUAUGCUUCAUUGAUGCAUUCAAUCCACUCACUGUCGUCAUCAAGAAAUCCAAGCGCUUGGCAUGCUUAUUUGUAUGUUGGGUGAACAGCUCCAUUAACGGUUCCAAUAUCCUGAAUGAUGUGCAUCCUUUCUUGGUGUUUAGAAGCAUUCUCAUAUAAUACCGGUUGCCACUUGCAGAGUGUGCAUAGUAGAUUCUCCCAAUAGCGAAGCCCCUUUUCGGCUCCCCAAGUUUUGGUUUCGCUUUUCCAUACAAAUUUUGAUGGGAAUUCUGCAUAGGUUAAUUCUUUUCCCGCCUCAUGUAUUUCGUUUGCCUCCAUCCACUCAGUGAACUUAGUACUCGUGGAUCCUGGCCUUCUACUAUCUUAUCAAUGUCAGUCGAGUCCAGAAAAAUAACUUCUUGAUCAUUUUCAAUGUGGAAUGGUAGUCUCUUGACUGGUGGAUCACGAUGGUGUGUAGAUCAAACUGGAAUAUCCGCCAGUAUGCUCCAGUUGUUGAUAUGUAUCUCAUCUCUAGGUAUUUCUUGAUGUCAUCAUAGUCGUUUGCCGCAUCUCUUUCCUUUAGUAAGGCCAUUACCUGAUCGUCAUCUUUAUAGAUGUUCUUAAAUAGGUACUUGAUUGACCUGGGCCUGUUGCACCACUCGACAUUUAUGUGACCUUGGAAUUGACCAAAAGGUUGCGGUUGUAUGGUACGACAAAUCUGUUGUUGAGCAUUGCUCCUCCCUUUUUGAUCUUCCUUCCAUUGUCUCACCUUCUAUAUACUGGAAACCCAUCCUCAUGGAUUGUGGUAUCGACAUUGUAUCCUUUUGGGAAGUGUUUAGUGCAUCUGUUGUCCAUCAUGCAUGGUGAUUUUGUAUUUGCCUCUCUGCAAGGCCCGUGCAUCAUGAAAUUUUCAACAGCUUCAUAUCCGUCCGGAUCAACAUCUUUGUCCGAGAUCUCCGCACUGAUUGUUUGGUCAAUUUCUGAUGAUCCUUUGCACUUAUAUCAUAUCUGGGCUAAUAAGCUCAUCAGUGGUAGGAUUGACUGAAUACCACAUUCGUAUUUGUUUUACUUGAUGAAUGUUCCAGUUCCGUCCCCUUGUAUUUAAGUCGCUCAACUUCUUGCAUGUCAUAGUGUUUUGCCUUGAAUAUUAAUAGGGAACAAUUUGUCAAUUGAUAUAGUGUUUAUAAAGAUUCUAUCCGGAGAAAAUAAGACUGUUACUAACAAUUACCAAAUUAUCUGAUG